CUCAGGGGACUGUUCCUCAUUCUGAAUUACGUGCUACCAUUUCUCUGGUUAGGCUUGGCUGGGAGAGAGCAGAGCUUACUGAUGUGGGAGAGAGAAGCAGGCUGGUGGUUUGGAUGUGAGCACUACUAUGCCAUCAGUAGAGUUAGAGGGAGGUGAGAAAAGGAGGAAGGAUGGGCAGAGUCAAACACGAUAAAGCAGCUGGUGUAGCUAUGAUUUUGAUCUGAUGUUCUCCCACAUACACCUACUAUGAGAGGUACUGAGGCUAGUUUGUGAACUACUGAAGCUCCAAAAAAAAGCUCCAACACUGAUGAACUAUUCUGGAUGACAAAAUAAUCUGAUAGAGAAAAGCUACUCUACCCUACCAGUAAGGACAAGAAGAGGAACUCGUCACAAUGCACAGAAACAACAAUCUGAAUCUUGAAAUGAUGGAAGGAUACCUGCAGCUUCCUGGGUAAACUGGUGCUAUUGGCAGCCAAGCCAAACACUCGCGCUAUAGUUUGCCACUCCACCAGAAUUCAGAAAAAGUUAAACUCGUAGACUCCAUCCCAAGCAGACCGUGAGUAAAUG